CCUACGGGAGGCAGCAGUGAGGAAUAUUGGUCAAUGGACGAGAGUCUGAACCAGCCAAGUAGCGUGAAGGAUGACUGCCCUAUGGGUUGUACACUUCUUUUAUAAAGGAAUAAAACGCGGCACGUGUGCCUUUUUGCAUGUACUUUAUGAAUAAGGAUCGGCUAACUCCGUGCCAGCAGCCGCGGUAAUACGGAGGAUCCGAGCGUUAUCCGGAUUUAUUGGGUUUAAAGGGAGCGUAGAUGGGUUGUUAAGUCAGUUGUGAAAGUUUGCGGCUCAACCGUAAAAUUGCAAUUGAUACUGGCAGUCUUGAGUACAGUUGAGGUAGGCGGAAUUCGUGGUGUAGCGGUGAAAUGCUUAGAUAUCACGAAGAACUCCGAUUGCGAAGGCAGCUUACUAAACUGCCACUGACAUUGAUGCUCGAAAGUGUGGGUAUCAAACAGGAUUAGAUACCCCUGUAGUC
rnacentral:rRNA from 1 species